GUGUUAGUGUAAGUGAUCGUCAUAAAUAUAACAAAUUGGAUACGAGGUGUACAUCAUUAUUUACUGUGCCGAAGAACGCUGAUCUGUUGGAGAUGUGGUGGUGUGGAAUUAAUAAAAAACUGGUCCCAAAAAAAAUUAUGUUUGUGAACUGCAUUUCAGUGAAGAGGAUAUCAUUGAAAAUGAUAAAAUAUAAAUGAUGAAUGGUACAGAAGAAUUGAUGAGGACAAGAUAUGCAAUGAAACAAGGUGCUAUUCCAACUUUUAACACUAUAAACUUAAGUGAGAGUAGGAAUACUAAAGAUGUUGAUACUUCUAUUAUAUUUGUAAUAGCAACCAUAAAUGUUUUGGAGAUUUUGAACUAAUUAUCAACUCUGAAGAUACUAAGCAUGAGAACAAAGAACAGGUACACAAAUCACCUAUUUGCAGAAG